rnacentral:rRNA from 1 species
UACAGAGAUGGCAAGCGUUGUUCGGAAUCACUGGGCAUAAAGGGCACGUAGGCGGUCCCGUAAGUCGGGUGUGAAAUCCCUCGGCUCAACCGAGGAACUGCGCCUGAUACUGCGGGGCUUGAGGGCAGGAGGGGAGAGUGGAACUCUUGGUGGAGCGGUGAAAUGCGUAGAUACUAAGAGGAACGCCGGUGGCGAAAGCGACUCUCUGGCCUGCUUCUGACGCUGAGGUGCGAAAGCUAGGGGAGCAAAC